UUCGUUAUUUUCACUCAGAUUCUAACUAAUCCUACACUCACUCAUCAAUCAUCAUUCAUAUCCCACUAUGGGGAUGCAAUAAAAUACAAAAAAAGUAAACCGACAAAGAUAGAAAUGAUCAGAGCAGAUUAGAGAAGUUAGUAUAUAAAAGACACAGUGAACAGACAUCCAAGUAGAGUUUUCAAUUUGUGUAAGAAAUUUACGGUUGUUUUAAAAGCCAUCACCAAGUAGCAAUUCUCCUGUAGAGGCACUUCUAGCAGCCCAGUAAUCCCUGAUGGGCUCUUGCGUUCGAGCUUUCAUGCAAUGCUUUUUUGCAGGCAUGUCCAAACACUGCACUGCACCGCGUGCUUCAUAUAUCCACCGCCACCGCGUGUAUUGAGAAUGCCACUGCAUCAGGAAUCAGGAAUCAGAACAAAUUGGCUCAAAUGGCACGUUCCCCUUGAUAUUUGGAGAUUUGUGCCUUGCCAUCAAUUUGUUUUUAGCAUCAUUUUCCCGAUAUAUAAGAGGGAAGGAUUGAAAGGAAAUGGUAAGGGUUGAACUAGGAGGAUGGGAAAAAUUGACGACACAAAAACACAUAAAAGCAGAAGUAAAUUCUGCACCCCUAAGGGAUGCUGAACAAUCUGCUGAGGAUCACAUUUAGUGGAAGCAGAAGGAAAUUCUGAACCUCUACGAGGUCCCGAACAGUCUGCUGUUAAUAAAACCUCCAACCCCCGAGAGGAUUUAGAGAUCUUACAAAAGCGACACCAUUCUGCACUCCCGGAAGAAUGCAGAACGACUCGCAGUAUGUACGAGCAGAAGUAAAUGCGGUACCCCCCAGAGGAUGCCAAACAAUCUGCCAAACCCUAUUUAAGGUGAAUACAGAAGGGAUUCAUUCACUCCAGGAAGAACGAUGAACCCUUCUGACUAUAGCUCCUUACCACAUUGGGUGAGAAACGAGAGAAUAUCCUUCAAUUUUAGCUCCGCAUACACAGACUCAACCAUGUAUGGAGAACCAAAAACCCGGAUACGUAGCUGCGUCAAUGCGGGACAGUUACAUAUCAGAUGAUAUGAAGUACCAUAAUCGCAUUCACACAAAUCACACGAAUAAUACUCAGCACGUUGAAUAGUAGCCAUGUGAUAAUUGAGUUUGCAAUGUCCAGUCAGAGCUCUGACCAGAAUACUUCAAUGAUACUUGGAGAAAUGCAGUAGACACUUUGACAUUUUCAGAUUUAAAUCUGGUAGAAAUGCUUUUGUCUGAGCGCAAGUUUGCAAGCUGCGCCAGUAGCUGGCAUGUUUGGAUGCAGCCCAAGAACGUAUCUUGUGCUUUAUCCAACUAGUUGAAAGUGGUAAAGCUGGUUCAGGACCAACGAAAUCAUUCGUUGCACCAGCUCUAGCCAACUCAUCAGCCCAUUCAUUUCCAGUAAUACCAGAAUGGCCGGGUACCCAUAUGAAGUAAACAGCAUUUGAAAUGCUGAGGUCUUCAAUUUGAGUUCGACAUGCGAUCACUAGAUUCGACCGUGAGUCAUUCGAACUGAGUGCUUUUAAGGCUGCCUGACUGUCGGAACAAAAAUAAAUACGUUUACCACAGAUCCUCUGCUGAAGUGCCGAUUGUACUCCACACAGAAUUGCGUAGAUUUCUGCUUGGAACACAGUACAGUAUCUACCAAGUGAAUGAGACUGCUCCAGCCUAUUUCACGACAGUAGAUACCAGCACCAGCACGACCAUUCAACAGAGAACCGUCCGUAAAACAAACUAUGUGUUCAUCAAGUUGUCGUUCCAGACAACCAGACAAUCAUUCCUAACGAAGAGGAUAGCUCACUUUGAAUGUUUUAAAAGGAAAACUGCAUGUGAGAGUUAGGUCACUAGGAGCGAGUAAAUACUCAUCCCACGGAACCAUUUGAGACCACAAGCGAGUGUGACUGGUAGCAUAUUCUAAUGGGUUACUGUUCCAAAGCCCUGUAACCCUAAGACGGUAUGCACAAGAUAAUGCUUCUUGUUUUAGGAACACAUAUAGUGGUUUAAUGCACAGUAGCGCCUCUAGAGCAGCAGUAGGAGUUGUCGUGAAUGCUCCUGUCAUCGCCAUUAGGACCAUCCUUUGGAGAUGAUUUAGCUUUGACUGAACUGUCGCGACUUCUCCUUUCUGCCACCAUACAAGACAUCCAUAUGCUAAAAUUGGUCUAACGAUAGUUGUGUAGAUCCAAUGAAUAUAUCUGGGUUUGAGUCCCCAUGAUUUUCCAAAAGCUCGUCUGCAUUGGCCGAAAGCCAUGCAAGCUCUUUUAAUCCUGAAAUCAAUGUGAGCAGACCAAUUCAGUUUUGAGUCAAGAAUAACCCCGACGUAUUUAACUUGAUCGACCACAGUGACCCCUGAAGCAAAGAACUGCAACGGACGAGCUCCUGUAAUUAUCCUACGAUGAGUGAAAAGCACCAUUGAUGUUUUGCCCGGAUUUACAGAUAAUCCAAACCUGACAACACCAUUGUUCAACAGAUCGCAGGGCUUGCUGCAUUAAAUCAAAGAGAGUGUUAAUGCUUAUACCGGUCAUCAAUAUAUGAUAAUCGUCGGCAAAACCAUAAGUCGGAAAUCCAAGGUUAUUAAGUUUCCUUAACAAACUAUCAGCGACUAGGUUCCAUAAAAGUGGGGAUAGUACACCACCUUGAGGACACCCACAGACACUCAGCUUUCUAAUCUCUGGCCCGCCGAAGCGAUGAUCAAAGAAGUUGAUUGCUAAGCAUUGCGUGUAUCCAGUAAGGGAAAAACCCAAGAUAUUCCGUUCACGACUGCAAUGUUUAACCUCCUGCAGCCAUUCAGCCAUCGGCACGGAAAUACACCUUGACUUAGGAGUUCCUAUUUUUGUGGCCUUUUACGACAUGGAAUAGGAAACCAGUGGAUCAAUUCUUGGUAAAAAAUAAUUCCGCCGGAUGCCACACGGCUUACCUGUUUGGUGGACUUAUACCACCGGUACAGGUGGACCGUAGCGUUAUUCUUAGCAGUUGGGAAACCGCUACCGACACUACACGGCUAUCUAGGCUGCUCAGAGAGGGAAGUUAACAUUGAUGGUCAACUUCCAUGGAUGGCCGAGCAGCCGUGAAUGUCCAUGUCCAAACACUGCACUGCACCGCGUGCUUCAUAUAUCCACCGCCACCGCGUGUAUUGAGAAUGCCACUGCAUGCCAGUGCACAAAGAGUAACACGAAACGCAAUGACCGAAGCCACGGUGCUGGUGUGGGUGUUUCAUUUUCGGUGCUGGUGUUUCAAGCUUCGGCAUACACCGAAACCGCGUGUUUUCAGUUUCGUUAAACACCGGAGCCGAGUGUUUUGAAUUUCGCGAAGGCACCGAAAAGCACCCAUGCGUUGGGUAUAUUGUCAAUAAAACACAGAAGCGGUUGGUAGGAUGACAAACAAACUAUACGAUACAGACGCAUGA